rnacentral:rRNA from 1 species
UAGGGAAUCUUCCACAAUGGACGCAAGUCUGAUGGAGCAACGCCGCGUGAGUGAAGAAGGUUUUCGGAUCGUAAAGCUCUGUUGUUGGUGAAGAAGGAUAGAGGCAGUAACUGGUCUUUAUUUGACGGUAAUCAACCAGAAAGUUACGGCUAACUACGUGCCAGCAGCCGCGGUAAUACGUAGGUGGCAAGCGUUGUCCGGAUUUAUUGGGCGUAAAGCGAGCGCAGGCGGAAUGAUAAGUCUGAUGUGAAAGCCCACGGCUCAACCGUGGAACUGCAUCGGAAACUGUCAUUCUUGAGUGCAGAAGAGGAGAGUGGAAUUCCAUGUGUAGCGGUGGAAUGCGUAGAUAUAUGGAAGAACACCAGUGGCGAAGGCGGCUCUCUGGUCUGCAACUGACGCUGAGGCUCGAAAGCAAGGGUAGCGAACAGG